CCCAGGUGUCUCAGGCUCGGGGCCUAGGGGAGCCACCACGCCUCUGGCGGGGCGUUCCUUGGGUUCAUCGUGGGUGGGAGUGAAGUGACCGUCAUUGACCAGUAACUAAACCUAUUCUAGCAACCUCCAGAUAUUAACUAAAACUGCACAAAAGAUCAGAGAAUUUCUCUUUGAAGGCUGGAAGACAGAAAAUGUAUGUCUUCUGCUGCAGGAACAGAGAGAAGUCACCUUAAAUCAUCGCAGCGCCCGUUGGACUCUGUUCUGCAGUCCUCCAGAAGAGGCUCCCGACCUCCCCCUACAACACCCCCCCAGAGAUCCAGGGCUCCCGAUGAUUUCCAGUUCACAGGUGGGGCCAGAGCCCUCACGGAGCUGGGGCUCCAGGCCGGCAACCCCCCGCCUCCCUGCGCCCCCGAGCCCCCCAGGCCGCUCGGGCACCUGCUGGGGGCAAAGGUCCCAGCUCUGGAGGCGGCAGGCCGGCCUGGCACCCACCGCACCCAAGCUGCCCAUCCCACUCUGGGCCCCUCAGGACCCCCCAGCUUGGAGCCACCUCCCUCCCGCCGAAGCCCCCCCAGACAGAAGGGGAGCCGACUACUCCAGAGGCCGAUGCUGAGCCCAGGGCUCCACCUUUUCUGCAGUGGGUCCGGCCCUCAUCGUGAAUUCACCUGAUGUAUCUUCAUCCUUGAGAGGGGACAGCAAGGGUCUGGGGCACAAUUAGGAUGCUCUUCCUCAUGGUGGGAGGACCGGGGAAUGAAAUGCUGUCAUCAUUCCUGCACAAGUGGGCACCACCCUCUUGAGAACAGGGGGGUCCCGCAAACCCAGGGCAGGCCGCAAAGACCGACGGAUGGAUGAUGUGAGCUGCUAGGGACGGGGCCUCUUCAAGGGACCUGAUUACGAGAGUCCUAAUUAAAAAAAUCGUUAAAACUCAGAAUUUUCCUUUAAAAAAAAGAUAUUUAUUUAUUUAUUUAUUUAUUUAUUUAUUUAUUUAUUUAUUUAUGAGAGACACACAGAGAGAAGCAGAGACGCAGGCAGAGGGAGAAGCAGGCUCCACACAAGGAGUCCAACGUGGGACUCGAUCCCAGGACCUGGGAUCACGCCCUGAGCCGAAGGCAAAUGCUCAACCACUGAGCCACCACCCAGGCAUCCCUAAAAUUUCCCAUUUUUAAGAUGAUUUUUUAAAAAAUUUUUUUAAAUGAUUUUAUUUUCUUCCCUGUCCUUAGCUACGCACAUGCUCAUCUCAUGAUUAUCAACAAGCACCAGAGAUCUUUUUCUUGUUUCUGACCCAUAGAGCUUAGUUUCCUAUGGUGCAGUGACAAGGAAAUUGGGGAUUUCUAUAUACUUACAUACAUAUUUAGAUAUUCAAUGCCUGGGUCUUUACGACCUCAGAAACCUAAGGCAGUUGGAGACCAAUCAGUCUAACUAGUCACAUAUUCAUUUGUUCAUCUAACAAAUAAAUGCUGAGC
rnacentral:lncRNA from 1 species